rnacentral:rRNA from 1 species
UGGGGAAUUUUGGACAAUGGGCGAAAGCCUGAUCCAGCAAUGCCGCGUGUGUGAAGAAGGCCUUCGGGUUGUAAAGCACUUUUGUCCGGAAAGAAAUCCUUGGCUCUAAUACAGUCGGGGGAUGACGGUACCGGAAGAAUAAGCACCGGCUAACUACGUGCCAGCAGCCGCGGUAAUACGUAGGGUGCAAGCGUUAAUCGGAAUUACUGGGCGUAAAGCGUGCGCAGGCGGUUUGCUAAGACCGAUGUGAAAUCCCGGGCUCAACCUGGGAACUGCAUUGGUGACUGGCAGGCUAGAGUAUGGCAGAGGGGGGUUAGAAUUCCACGUGUAGCAGUGAAAUGCGUAGAGAUGUGGAGGAAUACCGAUGGCGAAGGCAGCCCCCUGGGCCAAUACUGACGCUCAUGCACGAAAGCGUGGGGGAGCAAAACAGGAUUAGAUACCCUGGUAGUCCACGCCCUAAACGAUGUCAACUAGUUGUUGGGGAUUCAUUUCCUUAGUAACGUAGCUAACGCGUGAAGUUGACCGCCUGGGGAGUACGGUCGCAAGAUUAAAACUUAAAUGAAUUGACGGGGUCAU